GAUGAACGCUGGCGGCGUGCCUAAUACAUGCAAGUCGAGCGAACAGACGAGGAGCUUGCUCCUCUGACGUUAGCGGCGGACGGGUGAGUAACACGUGGAUAACCUACCUAUAAGACUGGGAUAACUUCGGGAAACCGGAGCUAAUACCGGAUAAUAUAUUGAACCGCAUGGUUCAAUAUUGAAAGACGGUUUUGCUUUCACUUAUAGAUGGAUCCGCGCCGCAUUAGCUAGUUGGUAAGGUAACGGCUUACCAAGGCAACGAUGCGUAGCCGACCUGAGAGGGUGAUCGGCCACACUGGAACUGAGACACGGUCCAGACUCCUACGGGAGGCAGCAGUAGGGAAUCUUCCGCAAUGGGCGAAAGCUUGACGGAGCAACGCCGCGUGAGUGAUGAAGGUCUUCGGAUCGUAAAACUCUGUUAUUAGGGAAGAACAAAUGUGUAAGUAACUAUGCACGUCUUGACGGUACCUAAUCAGAAAGCCACGGCUAACUACGUG
rnacentral:rRNA from 1 species